GACGAACGCUGGCGGCGUGCUUAACACAUGCAAGUCGAACGCUGAAGCUCAGCUUUUGUUGGGUGGAUGAGUGGCGAACGGGUGAGUAACACGUGAGUAACCUGCCUCCUUCUUUGGGAUAACGCCCGGAAACGGGUGCUAAUACGGGAUAUUCACUGGUCUUCGCAUGGGGGUUGGUGGAAAGGGUUUUUCUGGUGGGGGAUGGGCUCGCGGCCUAUCAGCUUGUUGGUGGGGUGAUGGCCUACCAAGGCUUUGACGGGUAGCCGGCCUGAGAGGGUGACCGGUCACAUUGGGACUGAGAUACGGCCCAGACUCCUACGGGAGGCAGCAGUGGGGAAUAUUGCACAAUGGGCGCAAGCCUGAUGCAGCGACGCCGCGUGAGGGAUGGAGGCCUUCGGGUUGUGAACCUCUUUCGCUCAUGGUCAAGCCGCAACAAUGGUUGUGGUGAGGGUAGUGGGUAAAGAAGAGCCGGCUAACUACGUG
rnacentral:rRNA from 1 species